AAACGACUCUCGGCAACGGAUAUCCCGGCUCUCGCAUCGAUGAAGAACGUAGCGAAAUGCGAUACUUGGUGUGAAUUGCAGAAUCCCGUGAACCAUCGAGUCUUUGAACGCAAGUUGCGCCCGAAGCCAGUAGGCCGAGGGCACGUCUGCCUGGGCGUCACAC
rnacentral:rRNA from 2 species